rnacentral:misc_RNA from 1 species
UAAUAAGUGUUUUAUGGCACUUUUUAAAUCCAUACCCACCUUGUGUGCAAUGUUGGUCGAUCCUCUUUUUUUGAGGAUCGACCAAACAUCAACCUUUAUCUUUUAACUCUUUGUCUGAAAAAUAUUAUGAAUAAACAAUUCAAAAUA